UACGUAGGGUGCGAGCGUUGUCCGGAAUUAUUGGGCGUAAAGGGCUCGUAGGCGGUUUGUCGCGUCGGGAGUGAAAUCCACUGGCUUAACUGGUGGCUUGCUUUCGAUACGGGCAGACUGGAGGUAUGCAGGGGAGAACGGAAUUCCUGGUGUAGCGGUGAAAUGCGCAGAUAUCAGGAGGAACACCGAUUGCGAAGGCAGCUCGCUGGGACGUGACUGACGCUGAGACGCGAAAGCGUGGGAGCGAACAGG
rnacentral:rRNA from 1 species